CUGGUGCUUUUGGUUGAACUAAAUGAUUUUUUUAACCGUACUUUUCAUGCCUUUUUAUGAAAAGUAAAUUAUACUAAAAAGUCUUUUAAAUUUUCCUAAUAUUUUAUGCAGAGUGUUUAUUGUACAAAUCUUUAGAAAAUUGUUUUAUUUAAAGUUUAAACCUUUUUUUUGUAGUCCAAAGUUACAAAUAAACAAAUUUUGACCCCUGACAUUUAGCUGGUUAUAACCAUUAAAUUUGUUGAUUAAAUUUUGUUUAUGUCACAAAAGAUACAUGUGAAUUGAGGUAUAUUUCAUGGGGACAGAAAAUUGGAAGUCAUUGUUAAAAUAAGUCACAAGUUUAAUGAAUCAGAGCACUUUGACUUCUGGUAUAGACACUGGUUUUUUCAUUGAAGAACCAAUGUUGACCGCUGUCUCUUGAUUUGCUAGGUUGCUGUCUCACUGAUGUAUAAUCCACGUUCAGGUUAACAACCAUCUCUCCAGAUUUUGCCAUCAGAUUUUCCAAUAGGCAUUUAUCUGAUGAUUUUUUUUUCUGGACAAAACAAAAAUUUGGUAUGAAUUUUGAAUACUGCCAAUCAUGGUGAUUGAAUUUAAUCCUCCUCCGUUGUAACAUCCUUAUUUCCGGUGUGUUUUUUAUUGUACUAAUCCCAGUUUUAUGAUUGUUUGUAAAAUACGAUAUGUUGAAGCUUGUUGAGUAGUAAUAGAUCUGUGAUUUGAUUUUGGUUGUGAUUUUGUUUUAUUGACUAUUUUUGAGAUAUGUAUAAAUGUGAGCUUUAAGUUUUGAAAAAAUGUUAGCAAUCUUACAGUUGUCUAAAUAAGUUAGCAUAUAAAAUAACAAAAAGACCCUUUUCAAGGUAAUUUACUAAGAUAAUGCAGAACAAAGUUUGAGAGAUAGAUAUGUGUCACCAUACAAUUCAGUUUAUUUCCACUUGAACUAUUUCUAUGCAUUAAAAUUUUGAGUUAUAUUAUAAGAUAUUAUCCAGAAAAUCAUUACUUUUAUAUGUCAAUUUCAGUUUUCUGAAAUUUUCAAGAUUUUUGUAUGUUUUUAUACAAAUUAAGGUUAACAACAAUAAACUAUUUAUACAGUGUGCAUAAGUUGUUGUUAAAUAGAUGUCAGUGUCUUUCCAAAAGAUUUGAUAUAUUGAAUUUCACAGAAGUUAUUUCUUAAUUUUCUUUACACGAAUCAGUUUGAUACUGAUAAUACAUUUUCAAGGUGGUACUAGCUAUACAGGGAGAUAACUCUGUAAAAUCAGCUAAAUGUUUUAAUCACAUUGUAUUGUUGAGGAAAUAUUAAGCUUCCCAAUGAUCAAAAUAAGUGUUUGUCAACUGCUAUAUAACCAAUGAAAUUUUUCUGAUGAAAUGGUUGUUACAAAUUUUUUAAUUUUUAAAUUUUUUGUCAAAAGGUUUAAGUAAAUAUUUUUAAAAUAUGAAAAUUAAAUGAGCCAAAUUAAUUUUAGUCAAGGUGUUGGGUUACUUGGGAACCACCUUAAACCAUACACAAGUUAACAAUUUUCUUGGCAGAGAAUUGUUCUUUUUCCUUAUAAUCCAGAGUUCUUAGUUUGAUUCUGCAGUGUUGAACCAAACUGCUCAUUAGAAAUGCUUGGCAAUUUUAAAGUCAAGUAUCAACCAAUAUUCUUCCACCUUAGAGAAAUAUGUUUUUCAAUACCUAAAACAAUUGUCUCAUUAUUAUAUCCAAGUCUUAUGGCUAUUAUUAUGUUGACAAUGCAAUGAUUGAAACCAAAUUUUCAAAAAACAAUAUUUACUGUAGUCCAAUUUCUAUAUCUUUAUAUUAUCAAAUACAUCUCUUUAUACUGUAACAAGAAGAACAUGCUUUUUAUAUGCACUGUAUAAUAAAUACUCAGCCAUUUGUAAUAAUGGUACACAGCUACUUAUGUUUGUUGUUGUAUUAUUUCAUCAUUGCUAUUUAUAGAUCAUGUUUAUUCCAUAUCAGUUUUAUUCCGUUUGCUAUGGAUGUACAUUACAAAUUUUUUUGCAAGGGAAAUAAAC
rnacentral:lncRNA from 1 species